GCUUAAAGCAACCCCUAUUUAUUCGUAUUUAUCAUCUCACAGUUCCUGUAGGUCAGGAAUUUGGGCACAAUUUAGCUCUGUCCCCCAUUUCAGGGUCUCCCACAGGCGCCAGUCAAGGUUCAGCUGGAGCAGGAUCCACUUUAAAGAUCACUCUCGUUGUUGGCAGGUGUAUUAGUUUGUUUUCACACUGCUGAUAAAGACAUACAUGAGACUGAGCAAUUUACAAAAGAAAGAGGUUUAACUGGACUUACAGUUCCAAGUGGCUGGGGAAGCCUCACAAUCAUGGUGGAAGGCAAGGAAGAGCAAGUCACGUCUUACGUGGAUGGUGGCAGGCAAAAAGUGAGAGAAUGAGGAAGACUCAAAAGUGGAAACCUCUGAUAAAACCAUCAGAUCUCAUGAGACUUAUUCACUACCACUAAAACCACUCCCAUGAUUCAAUUAUCUCCCACUGGGUCCCACCCACAGCACAUGGGAAUUCAAGAUGAGAUUUGGGUGGGGACACAGCCAAAUCAUAUCAGCAGGAUUCAGUUCCUUGUGGGCUGUUGGACUGGUCCGCUUGCUGGCUGUUAGCUGAAACUCUCCCUCAAUUCCUUGCCACAUGGGCCUGUUCAACAUGGCAACUUGUUUCAUCAAGUCAGCAAGAGAGAGUCUGCUAACAAGGAGGAAGUCACAGUGUCUUGUCUUUUUUUUUUUUUUUUU
rnacentral:lncRNA from 10 species